UUGCUUAGGAUGGAUGGAUAUGAUUCAAAAAAUGAAGAAAUGAUCAAGAUGAGGAUCAAAUAUGUUUAAGUCAGAGAAAUUUGAUACUAUUAGUCAAGUAUAUUCGUCUCUUAAUAAUUGGUGAAGAGGGUUAACGAAUAUUUUAUGGUGAAUGGCUAUGUUAUGAGUGGAAAAUUGAUCGGAUCAGAAGUAUGUCAACCCAAACCUAAGCCAUUUAUUAGAUGGAUCAAAAAUCCAGAAUUGAACCCCACCUUUUUAUUAAACAAGUAACCCAUCCCGGCCCACAUAAUUAGUUUAAUAAGCAUGUCAAAUCAGGUUAAGUAUCCUAAACAUGUCUUGAAUGGUUUAACAGUUAGAUGGGUCUGACACUUGUUAAACGGGUCAUAAAUCGAAAAGGUCAUAACCAUGUCGAUCCAUCCCAACUAUUAAACUGGUCAAAACAAAUUAAAUGGGUCAAGACUCUAAACCUGGACCUGGCUCAUUUCAAGUCAGAUAAAUCCAUUAAGGACCUGUUGACCCAAACCUAUUGAUGCCAAGCCUAAACCAACUUAACUCAGGCCGGCUGCAAGUC
rnacentral:lncRNA from 1 species